UGGUACUGACCUCCAUCCAUGGUCGUUCCAUUGACUAUUUUGCUCCAAUUUCCACAAUGCUUUGUGUAUUCGCUGCAAGCAGCAAUUUUGAAUUGAUAAGUGGUCGCUGGAUCAAGAUCGACAAAUACGUAAACAUUGAAGAUCUGGUGGCGGUACAUUCCAACCGAUGGUAAUUGAACGAUCGGUGAAACCGUUUACGGAAACUGUCGGAAUGAAAACAGGAUCUGAAAAACAAAUUUUGUUGAAUUUGAUGAACGAAAGUUUGUUUAAUGUUUUAAGCAUUCAAUGCGCACACAAAUUUAGAAUACUUAUUAAUUAUCCGGCUCAAGACAAGAGCGAAGAUGAAAUUGCCAAUAUGUAUUGGAACAAUGAAAUUUCAAAAUUGAUUUGUCAAUCCAUUGACUUUUUUGAAAAGCGAAAUUCUUUUGUAAUCAUGUAUUUGGAUUCCAAAACAAUUUUAUUAAAAUUCUAGCCUGAA